UUAAAUAGACCGGUUUAUUAGGUCCAGUCAGACGUUUGGACACUCAGUUUGGAAAACAAAGUCUCAUCGGUUUUGAACAUUUUUGAUGAUUCAUAUGAAAGAACUGUACAAAACUGAAUUUAAAAAAGAAAAUUUUACAUUAUGUUUAGAGUUCCUAAUUGCACCUUCUAAACCCUUUGAAAGGUUUAUUGCAGUUUAUUUUUACAUCUUUGAUCAAGGUAGUCAGCCUAUUGUUUUUGUCCAUUUCAGUUUAUUCUACAAUGGCUGAUGUACUUCUAAUUGCACUGAGUGAAUAAAUGAAAGUUGUUUUCACAUGUUUGACCUAGCUUGUGAUGUUGAUGUAUCUACGUGUGGUGUUCUGGUGCAGAGUUAUCAAAUAAAUUCAUAAUUCAGUACAUAUAUGUCUGUGUUUCAAAAAAAGAAACAUUUUAAGUCAAUUGUUUUUCUACAUCGGCUCAGUAUCGGUUGAUGCUAACCCUCAGAUAUCGGUAUUGAAAGCGAAAAAAGUGGAUCGGUGCUUCCUUCCACCCUACAUGCCAAUUGGUGCCGUGCUGUUGGGUUAUUGUGUUCCCCAAAUGAACUUCCGUCCUUGUGGCCUAUUCCAACCACACCCAAGCAAUUGACACACUGUUUUUCAUCUUUCAAUGUAGUAUAUUGAAAAAUGUGCGUUACAUAGGUCUAACCCAGAGGACAUGAAAGAAAUUCUGAGGGACGUUAAGGUCGUGUCGUUUCUUUAAGGAACGUCUGGUGGUUUUGACAGAACUGGUUCUGAAUAUUUAGCGCUUAUUGGGAUCAAAGGUGUGGAAUUGCUAGCGUUCCACAGCAUCAGGACAAACACCUCAGCUUUACCACAAACUUUUGUUUUGUUUAGUUAUUUAUAACAAAAAGCGAAAAGGGGUCCAACACAUCAGCUUACAAGUAGGUCUUGUCACAGAAAGCAAUAAAUCAGUUAAUCGCACGAUCAAUUAAAACAAACUCGAUCAUUUCUGUUUGCAUGAUAUAUUGUUUCUCUUCACUCUUUUAAUGAGAAAAAUCUUCAGCCUGAUGCUUUGGUCUUAAAUAGACCCUUUUUAGAAGGACAGGGUCUUCUUUAUUUGUUGUUUUGUUUACUUACUUUAGAUAUUUAAAUUGUCCUCCAGUUCAAGGGCUAAAUGCUCAUUAGAAUUUGAAGUUUAUCGAUCUUUAAGAAUGUUUUUGUAUUGUUUUUCCUUUACCAUUACAUUACUUGAAAAUGGUCUCAAAACAACGAUGUCGUUUAUCGCGAUAACUUCAGUUUAUCGUCCAACACAAUUUGUCAUCUUGACAGGACUGGUCAGAGGGUUAAGACAUCCGAUUCAAAUACAGCUACACUGCGUCUUUUUAAACUCUGUAUGUAAAUAUCUGGUUUCGACAGCACAAAGGUCAGAGGACGUGUUACACAAGCCGGGCUGCGGCUCCCCUGCGCGGGGCCUCAGGCGCAGGAACGGCCCCACAACAUUUACAUUUACGGCCUCGGUUCAGCUGGACGAGCCGAGGAUGGAAAAACCGAGCGGAAAGAGGGCGAGCGGUUGUGCUGUGAGUGCAGCCAGAAGAUGCAGGGGUCGGGGAACCUCAGAGGCCCGCCGAGGCCGUCACCGCCCUGCCUCUGCUCCUCCAGCCAGCGGCUGUGAGGAACACCCGUGUUGUUGUGAAUCUGAAGACUUCUGCGAACAAAAGCAGGGAAAGAGGCUCUUCCUCUUCGCCACCAGCAGGUUCCUGCUGCACCGAUCCUAUUCUUGGAGCUCCCGCAUCCCUUCAAAGUGUUUAUCGCCUCCUCUCUGCACAUCUGUGUGAUGUGGCCGGCGUCUGCGGGGCGUGACCGCCCAGAGCCGGCGCCUGUUGGCGUGCGUGUUUGUCAAGACACACCACAGACACGCUCCGCUAUAAAUAUCAACUCUAGCGAUCUCCUGCUUUGCGUUCUUCCAGCAAAACAUCUGCAAGAGGCAAGAAUCAGGACACGGCGUCAACAGAGCUGCUGCGUUCGAGCCAAUUAGUACGUUAGACCUGCCAAGUUUCCCGCCAAAUAAUCUGCCGUGUGGCGGGUCGAUGGCGCGGCGUGGAAUCAGGUGGAAGAAAAAAAAAAAAAAACAAACAGUUUCUUGGUUAUUGAAUUUGAAGAGUGUAGGAUAUGAGCUCCAGCGCUUUGUUCCUGAAGUCCACCACCGUGUAGGUCCGCACCAACGGAUCCACGAAGUCCAACAUGUGGUGUGCGCACUGGGCGCGCUCCUCGGCACUCACCUUAUUUGUGAUGAUGUCCAGACCCUUGUACACCUGCAAGGGUCAGACAUGAGUAAAUAUUAAAAUACGGAGUAGUUGGUCUGAUUCCAGUUCCGUUCCUCUUGACAACGUUCGGCGUCGGGCAUUGAUCGUAUCGUUUAUCAUUCAUCGCGAUACAUUUCUUACCAGGAUUAUUUCUUGAUUUAUCGUUGUCAUCACAAAUUCCAAUUAAUGAUGUUUAAAAUAAAACCUGAAACUGC